CAGUAACCCCUGCCCUGCACCUGCUCUACAGAAGGUUGAGCCUGCAACGGGACCAAUAGAAGGCAACACCAUCAUCGAAAUUACAGGAACCAACAUUGGCCGAAGAUUUGAAGACGUCCGCAGCGUGAUGAUCGGUCAACAGUCAUGUGAUCUGACUGGGUUCGGUGACCAGUACAUCACUGGACGAAGUGUACGUUGUAGGACUACAGCAAUGAGCCUAGGUGAUUCUCAACCUAUCACAAUCUCCGUCGCCCCUGUUGCGCCUCCAGACAGC